rnacentral:rRNA from 1 species
CCCUACGGGGGAAAAAUUUAUUGCUAUUAGAUGAGCCUAUAUUAGAUUAGCUAGUUGGUGGGGUAAUAGCCUACCAAGGUAAUGAUCUAUAGCUGAUCUGAGAGGAUGAUCAGCCACACUGGAACUGAGAUACGGUCCAGACUCCUACGGGAGGCAGCAGUGGGGAAUAUUGGACAAUGGGCGAAANNNUGAUCCAGCCAUGCCGCAUGAGUGAAGAAGGCCUUUGGGUUGUAAAGCUCUUUUAGUGAGGAAGAUAAUGACGGUACUNACAGAAGAAGUCCUGGCUAACUCCGUGCCAGCAGCCGCGGUAAUACGGAGAGGGCUAGCGUUAUUCGGAAUUAUUGGGCGUAAAGGGCGCGUAGGCUGGUUAAUAAGUUAAAAGUGAAAUCCCGAGGCUUAACCUUGGAAUUGCUUUUAAAACUAUUAAUCUAGAGAUUGAAAGAGGAUAGAGGAAUUCCUGAUGUAGAGGUAAAAUUCGUAAAUAUUAGGAGGAACACCGGUGGCGAAGGCGUCUAUCUGGUUCAAAUCUGACGCUGAAGCGCGAAGGCGUGGGGAGCAAACAGGAUUAGAUACCCUGGUAGUCCACGCUGUAAACGAUGAAUGUUAAAUAUGGGGAGUUUACUUUCUGUAUUACANNUAACGCGUUAAACAUUCCGCCUGGGGACUACGGUCGCAANAUUAAA